rnacentral:rRNA from 1 species
GACGAACGCUGGCGGCGUGCUUAACACAUGCAAGUCGAACGGAAAGGCCCUGCUUUUGUGGGGUGCUCGAGUGGCGAACGGGUGAGUAACACGUGAGUAACCUGCCCUUGACUUUGGGAUAACUUCAGGAAACUGGGGCUAAUACCGGAUAGGAGCUCCUGCUGCAUGGUGGGGGUUGGAAAGUUUCGGCGGUUGGGGAUGGACUCGCGGCUUAUCCGCUUGUUGGUGGGGUAGUGGCUUACCAAGGCUUUGACGGGUAGCCGGCCUGAGAGGGUUACCGGCCACAUUGGGACUGCGAUACGGCCCAGACUCCUACGGGAGGCAGCAGGGGGGAAUAUUGCACAAUGGGCGGAAGCCUGAUGCAGCAACGCCGCGUGCGGGAUGACGGCCUUCGGGUUGUAAACCGCUGUCGCCUGUGACGAAGCGUGAGUGACGGUAAUGGGUAAAGAAGCACCGGCUAACUACGUG